UGCCCCAGUAACGGCGAGUGAAGCGGCAACAGCUCAAAUUUGAAAUCUGGCCUCGGCCCGAGUUGUAAUUUGCAGAGGAUGCUUCUGGCGACGUGCCUUCCGAGUCCCCUGGAACGGGGCGCCGGAGAGGGUGAGAGCCCCGUACGGUUGGACGCCGAGCCUGUGUGAAGCUCCUUCGACGAGUCGAGUAGUUUGGGAAUGCUGCUCUAAAUGGGAGGUAAAUUCCUUCUAAAGCUAAAUACCGGCCAGAGACCGAUAGCGCACAAGUAGAGUGAUCGAAAGAUGAAAAGCACUUUGGAAAGAGGGUUAAACAGUACGUGAAAUUGCUGAAAGGGAAGCGCUCGCGACCAGACUCGCGCCGGGCGGAUCAUCCAGCGUUCUCGCUGGUGCACUUCGCCCGGCCCGGGCCAGCAUCGGUUCCGAUGGGGGGACAAAAGCUUGGGAAACGUAGCUCCCCUCGGGGAGUGUUAUAGUCCCUCGCCUAAUAUCCCCGCCGGGACCGAGGACCGCGCCUUGUGCAAGGAUGCUGGCGUAAUGGUCGUCAGCGACCCGUCUUGAAACACGGACCAAGGAGUCGAACAUUUGUGCGAGUGUUUGGGUGGAAAACCCUCACGCGUAAUGAAAGUGAACGGAGGUGGGAGCCUCGGCGCACCAUCGACCGAUCCUGAAGCUUGUCGGAUGGAUUUGAGUAAGAGCAUAACUGUUCGGACCCGAAAGAUGGUGAACUAUGCCUGUAUAGGGUGAAGCCAGAGGAAACUCUGGUGGAGGCUCGCAGCGGUUCUGACGUGCAAAUCGAUCGUCAAAUAUGGGCAUGGGGGCGAAAGACUAAUCGAACCAUCUAGUAGCUGGUUUCCGCCGAAGUUUCCCUCAGGAUAGCAGUGCUGAUCUCAGUUUUAUGAGGUAAAGCGAA
rnacentral:rRNA from 1 species